UACGUAGGUGGCAAGCGUUGUCCGGAAUUAUUGGGCGUAAAGCGCGCGCAGGUGGUUUCUUAAGUCUGAUGUGAAAGCCCACGGCUCAACCGUGGAGGGUCAUUGGAAACUGGGGAACUUGAGUGCAGGAGAGAGGAGUGGAAUUCCACGUGUAGCGGUGAAAUGCGUAGAGAUGUGGAGGAACACCAGUGGCGAAGGCGACUCUUUGGCCUGUAACUGACACUGAGGCGCGAAAGCGUGGGGAGCAAACAGG
rnacentral:rRNA from 1 species